rnacentral:lncRNA from 1 species
CCUACACAGCUUAGGGUAAUGAAUUACGAGAUCUCUGAUGCUCAUUAAGGCUAAAUGAUAAUCUGCAAAUAGCUCCCUUAGCUUUCCUGGCAGUCCAUUAAAUUCUGACAGAAUUCAAGUGACGCCACUUGAUGCAAAUCACCAAUGAUUUCUGGAAGCUUUUCUAGUCUUUUGCACCCUCUGGGCUCUGAGUAAAAGACGUUGCAGAUUCAUCAAAUUACAGAGGCUGUCUGGUAGACUUACAAGAUCUUCACAACCUGUCAGAUUUAGCUCAGUGAGGCCGCUCAUAUUUCUAGUGAACGAAGGCAUUUCUCUUAUCCCAGUAGAAUUCAGAGUCAGUUGUAUCAAGCAAUGCAUAUCUCCGUUGAUUUCUGGAAAUGCAUUAUAGAGAUGACUCACAAAGGUUCUACGUGUAUCUUUGUGACAUAACUUGACCCUUAGACCAAAAAAGGAAAAGAAAAAACUAGAAGUCAUUAUAUUUUUGCUGAUUUUAUUGUAAAGACUAGACUUUACCUUUUUUCAUUAUUCCAAGCCUCUGUAGAAAACUUGUUAUCAUCUUUCUAAUUCAUGACAUAUCAUUGUACCCUUUUGCAGUAUUGCAGUGACAAAUUAAACAAAUGAGUAGCAAAUUGGGGACAAAUAUAAGUUUUCCCCAUUUUAACUUAAUCAUACCUUCCUGUAAAUGAUAUAAAUUUGUUGCCCUACCUGAGGAAUUGUCCAGAAAUUGAAGAAAAAUUUCAUAAUAAUUUAGAAGAAAAAGCAGAAAAGAAUGACUGACCUGAGAGAACCACACCAAAAGCUAACUAUUGAGGUAUAUAAGAGCCUGUUUGGAUUCAGAAUAGUUUUAAAGUGUUUAUGUAAAUUUAAAAAGAAAUAGGCUUCAAUCAGCUUAUUGAGCUACAGAAGUUUUCUCAACUCACAAUGGAGCAUCCAGUUUUUAUAUUUACAUUAUAUAUACAAAUUCUAUGGAACAAUAUCACCGUAUACUUGAGAGUCAAUUAGCAGCAAACACAUCAUAAACAGAAAUACUACUUCUACUUUUUAUGGCUAAACAGAUCUUAUAUAAGCCCAAUAUCAGCUUCACAAAUGACAUACUAAAAUCUCAUACCCCUUCCAAUAGGACUCAAUUAUUUUUAAUAGCAUUAAUUUUCAAAUUAAAAAUGUCUCUCCCAAUCCAAGUUACCUUUUACAUAUAAAGGGAUCUUAGGAAGAUGGUGUGUACGUAACUUUACCCUUACCUAGUUAAGGUAGAGAAGUUGUUUCCCACUCAAACACCAACAUUAUAAAUAAAAAUUUCAUCCAUCUAUCAUCGAUACAAAUUCCUGGUAUAUAAUUAAUUUUCAUUUGAGAAGGGUACAUACAAAUUGUACCAACAAUGUAGAACAUACACUUUCCAUACCAUUUUAUGAUACAUGUUUGGUUGAAUACAAAAUUUAAGAAAGACAGAAAAAUAUUUGAAAAUUGUGAUGUAAAACAAGUCAUAAACAGACCUUUGCAUCAUUUGGGUUCUUCCCUUCUUUAUUGUCAGAAGCAUACCACAAUGUUUCAAACGGUAUAUAGGCACAACAAAUGAAAGGAUACUCGAACCUCGAAUAUUCAGGGAUGUAGUUCUACUCCAAGGAAUAUUUUCUUUCAGGGUCAGACUUGCAGACCAAUGUAGCUUCUAAUCUUGCGUCCAGUCUAGUAGGACCGUAACUUAUCAAAAAACCCAUGAAUUUAUCAGUAUACCAAAAUGGGUUCAGCUUAAGACAACAAAUUACGAGAUUUUUGCUGCUCUUCAAAGUUAGAUGAUAAUCAGCAAAUAGCUCCCUUAAAUUUGGGGGUAGCUCUCCUGGCAGUUCAUUAAGAUUCUGACAGAAUUAUACGUUCAGAUGCUGAAGGUGUAAGAGUCCUUUGAAGCUUUUUGGUAAACAAGAAAUAUUGCUUCCACUUACAUUCAAAUUUUCCAAAGAGUGCAAAGAUCCUAAAUCCUCAGGAAGUCCACUCAAUAUGUUGUGAUUAUUAAGAUCAUGUGAUGUCAAGGAGGAUAAACCUGAUACUUGAUUCAAGACAAAACUUGAGGAAUGUUGAAAUUGUUGUUCAUGUGAGAAUCGUAACUUCCACAGUUUGCCAAGCUUAGUGAUGGAGGGAGGUGGUUGGGAGAUUGCAGUUUCGCUCGCAUCAAGUAUAUGUAAAUCUUGCAAAUCACCAAUGUUUUCUGGAAGCUUCUCUAGCUUGUUGCACCCGUCGAGGUAAAGACAUCGAAGUUUCAUCAAAUUGCAGAUAUUCGAGGUCUCCUAGAUGCCCAAUGGAUGAAGGCACUUCUCUUAUCCCAGUAGAAUUCAGAGUCAGCUGUGUCAAGUAAUGCAUAUCUCCAUUGAUUUCUGGAAAUGUAUCUAAUUUUGGGGAAUUAGAUAUCUUGAGCUUUUGAAGGGAUUUCAUCUGAAUCGAGCUUGGAAGCUUCUUUAAGUUCUCACAUCCAUCUAUCUCUAACAAACGGAGCUUCUUUUGAACUCCAAGAGAUAUGGGGAGCUUUACCAAUCCAGAACAUCGGUAUAUACCAAGACAUCCCAAUUGCUGUGAUUCAAAGAGGUUGUUUGGCAGUGUUGCAAAUUUAUUGAAACCUGAAAUACUGAGAUCUCUAAGAUUUUGAAUGGCGUCCAGAAUACUCUCAAGAACUUCACACUCAGUCAAUUGCAAAUUUCUAAGGCUGCUGAAAGAUGGAGGUAAGCUUCUUAUCCACGGGUAUUUUACAUAGAGUAUUGAUAAGCGCGGCAUAUCUCCACAGAUUUCUGGAAAUUCUUCUAAGCUUGUGCAUUCAAGGAGAUUGAGAGUCUCAAGAGAUCCCACGCAGACAAAUUUUGGAAUCUUCUUAAGUUUGCGAUAACCUUCCAAACUCAAAUAAGUAAGCAGUCUGCAAUGUCCAAAUGAGGAAUGGACCUCUUCCAAAUUCACACACCGUGUAAAUUUAGUGUCUCUAAGUUUGGCAUAUCACCAAAAUUAGGGGUUUUUCUUAACUCACAGCUGUCCAUGAGAUCCAAAUGCUUCAAGUUGCUCAAUUUCUGUUUCCAAAAAAAAAAAAGAACAGUGAGCUUAACUAGUACUCCUAAUAGAAAUAUUUUGUAGGAAAAAAAAAUAAAGAGAAGAUAAGGUUGUUAUGAUCAUUAAAGGCGGUAGCCAAUCUGGAAAAGAACUUUUGAGAUACAUAAUUGUCUUAAAAUCCAAAUAUAUAUUUCUUUUCUUUUAAUUUCAUAAUGAAAAUAAAACCUCUUUAAACCUAGAAAUAAUUCCUUCUCAUCUUUGUCCAGACAAUCAAAACUAAGCCUAAGCUUUCCUAAAAUAUCCUUGUGAGGGAUUCUCUUCAGCCGAUCAAUUAUGUGUCUCCAGUGCUUUUUGUCUCGUCCGUAAAAUGAAGAACCCAAAACUUUAAGAGCUAAAGGGAGUCCACCAGCAUGGUGCACCACUUGUCUUGAAAGUUCCAUAAAAUCUUCUUUUGGUGAUUUUUCUCUAAAAGCAUGACUACUGAACAAUUCAAGUGCUUCAUCCUCCGAUAAUAGUUGGACUUCAUACACGUUAUCCCCAACGUGACUGAUUAACAGGUGCUUGUCUCUUGCCGUUAAAAUAAUUCUGCUACCCCUACCAAACCACUCUGUCCCUCCAACUAAAAAUUCCCACUGUUCUUGAUGGUUUACAUCAUCAAGGAUGAACAGAACUUUCUUCCAGCGAAGCAUAUUCUUUUAAAUAUUCAUCCCUUCAUGCUCACUAGUUAGAGUCAAUUUUUCACCCAAGAGCUUGCAAAUGACAACUUGUUGUAGCCAUGUUAGUCCAUUUUUCUGAUGAAGUUUUCCAACAUCACCAAGAAAACAAUCAGCUUCACAUCGAUGGCGGUAUCUUUGAUGUAGAAUAUUUGCAAUUUCUGUCUUGCCGAUGCCGCCCAUACCCCAAAUGCCGAUGGAGCAAACAUCAUUUGAUUCCAUAUCUAAUAAUGAGGUUACUUUCUCAACCUGAGAUUUUUUACCCACUAAACUUUCCAGGAAAGGUGAAAUAAUUUGAAGUGACUUGGGAAAUAUGACAUCAACUAACUUCUUGAUGCACUCAGCCUCAUCCCUACAUUACAGUGAAAAUACUCUCAGAGUAAAUAAAUAGAAAAGGAAAGACUUGUCAUAGAUUAAUAUCUAAAGCAAACACAUAAUAAUGUCACAAAGGUUGUUCCCCCGCUCUCCCCCCCCCCCCUGGUGUCAUAAGGUAGCUUAAAUCAACUAUUAUGAAUUAUAACAUUUUAAAAUCUAAUUACAUCAUCAAACAACCAGAUAGCUAAAAGUUUGGUCCUUUUUCCUCUUGAUAAAGAGAAACCCGAAGAAAAGAAGAAGAUCACUUACUUGAAAUUUUGUAAAUGAUACCCCGAUAUUUUCCCAGCCUCCGCAAAUGCACCCGUCCAUCUCUGAACCUUCUCCAUAUCAUCUUUGCAUUUUUCCUCAUGUUGUAAAAAUGAAUCAGCAAAAGGGGGAUGUUGAUGGCACACAUCUGAUUGACUCACAUCAUAGAAGACUGGAAUCACAAUCUGCUCCAAUUCCUUUUUACACUUUAUGAUGUGUGCAAGCUCCUCUAAACACCAUCUUGACGAUGCAUAGCUUUUUGAAAAUAUCACUAUAGCAAAUUUAGACUCUUGUAUGGCUUUCAAAAGUUCAUCAGAAAUUGAUUUUCCCGUUUCUAGUCGCUCAUCAUCUUUAAAAGUGCGGAUCCCUCUUUGUUCCAAAGCAUUAUAGAGAUGACUCACAAAGUUUCUACAUGUAUCUUCACCUCUAAAACUCAAAAAGACAUCGUACUUGCAAAUUUUGGAAGAAGAAGCAUGAGACAUUGUUGAAGGAUAUAAGACUAACAGGUAACUUCUCAGCCCAACUAGCAACAUUAUUUCUCAGCUAUGUGAAUGCAUAAUUUGGUCAAAAAGAGUGAAACAGUUGAGUUGACCAACCUGGUCAAAAAGAAAGAAAAGACAGACAAAUUUCCAGUUUAAUAAUAAAGAACAAGACUUCACCAUUUUCACUAUUCCUAGUCUUUAUGAGGAACUUGUUAUCAUCUUCCUAUUUCAACUUAUAAAAUGUUAACUUUUUCAUUACUGUGAGAAAUUAAAGAGUAUAAAAACAGACAAGAAGACUUACACCAAAAAAGGCAAAGAAAAAACUAAAGUCAUUACAUUUUUACUGAUAUUAUUGUAAAGACUUUACCUUUUUCAUUAUUCCAAACCUCUGUAGGAAACUUGUUAUCAUCUUCCUAAUUCAUGACAUAUAAUUGUACUCUUUUUCAGUAUUGCACUGACAAAUUAAACUAAUGAGCACCAAAUUGGGGCACAAAUUUAAAUCUUAACUUAAUCAUACCUUUCGGAAAAUUGAUAUAAAUUCGUCGCCCUAACUGAGAAAUUGCCCAGAAAUUGAAGAAAAAAAUCGUAAUAAUUUAGAAAAAAACACACAAAAAGCAGAAAAGAAAACUGACCACAUCAAAGAUAUAAGCAGAAAAGAAGAGAACCGCACUCUUAACUAUUGAGGUUUAUAAGAGCUUAUUUGGUCAGAUAUAUCAUUUUUAGGUUUAUCUUUAUCAAGAGGAAAAUGGAAUAAAGAUUCUUGACAAGCUGACGGAGUAUGUCGGAUUUUAGCGUUUUCUUUAAUAGUGUUUAUUAGCAAUAAACAAGCUUUUUUUUUUACUCGUAUUGAAGAUGCGUUUUUUUCUAAAAUGAUCCGUAUUGAGUUAAAUUAAAAAUUAGAAAGCAAGUAUUUGUGUUAAAUCAAGAUAGCCGGGAUGAUAUGAAAAAAACAAAAAUACAUGAUAUUAUUUAAUUUAAUUGAAUGUUUAAACAAGAAAAUUGAAGCACUUCCGUCAGUUAUUAUUCAUGCAAAAAUACAUUAAAAAAAAUCUCAAAAAAAAAUCAAUGUUCAUACAUUAAUUUUUAUUUUUUUUAAAAGGAAAACUAACGAACACAAGUUAUAUGGACAAACACCAACUAAAAAUCGCAUACCCUUUCCCAUAGGCAGUGGCGGAGGCAGGAUUUCCAUCGAGGGGGUUCAAAAAGAUAAGUAAGCACACUAUUAGUAUCCAUAUAAGCGGGGCGGGUCAAAUAUAAAUGGGUCGGAUCAGAUAUAAGCAACUAAAAAAAAUUCAACUCUACCUCAACACAAACAAUAAAAUCGAGUAAUCAUAUGUUUGACGAGAUUUGUAUUUUUUAAAACUAUAAUUAUGGGUCUUGUCUCUGUCAUUGUUGUAUACAAACGUUAUUUAAUUUUUGAAACUAACUAAGGAAUACUUCUAAAUCCGAUCAUACUGUAGCAAUAAAAUUUGCGUCGAUAAAAUAAUUAUCAAGGUUGAAAAAUAUCGCGACAAUUGUAUUUAUUUAUAAAUUUUAAAUGAUUACUCUUAUUUAUUUAAUCUUACUUAUAAUUAUAUUAAUUCUUAAUCAAAUAUAAAUUAAAUGUUUUCUUAAAAUGAGUAUGAAAGAAUGUAUUUUUAAUUUUAAUUAUGACAACAACGUUUAUAAGUUUUACUUAAUUUUAUAAAAAUGGAAAAUUAAAUUUAUUUUUUUAAUAUCUAAUAAAUAGUAUAAAUCUCAAUAGGUUUUCAAACAAAACAAAAAUUUUCAUUUAUUUAGAAAAUUAAAUGAAAAUCGGCUGAAAUAUGGGGGAAAAAAAUGCUGUUACAGGGAGUCGAACCUGCGACCCAGCACUUAUAUUGCGAAUUCUUGAACCCCCUUUACCACUAAACCAAGCCCUUAGCUUAUGUUCAGGGGUUCAUCACUUGGUAUAUACAUAUAAAUAAAAAAAUUGACCCUAUAUAUACCAUGUAAUUUUUCCAACGAAGGGGGUUCGGAUGAACCCCUUGGAUCCAUGUAGAUCCGCCCCUGCCCAUAGGACUCAAUUAUUUUUAAGAAGUAUUAAUUUUCAAAUUAAAAAUGUCUCUCCAAAUACAAAUAGCCUUUUACAUAUAAACAGACCUUUGCCUCACUCAUUGCUUCUUUUCUUUUUUCUAUGACCACUAUCAUCACUCAUUGCUUCCUCUUCAUACACCAGCCGAAUUCCCCAGCAUACUUCUUUCUCCAGCCCGUACAUGUGAGAAAACUCCAACAUGUAAUAAUCAUUUGGAUUCUUCCCUUCUUUAUUGCCAGAAGCAUUCCACAAUGUUUCAAAUGGUAUGUACCAGCAAUAAAUGAAAGGAUCAUUGGAAAAAGACCCACUCACCCCAUACUUCAAGGAAUAUUUUCUUUCAGGGUCAGAUUUGCAGACCAAUGUAGCUUCUAAUCUUAUGUACUUUGUAGUAGGACCGUAGGUUAUCCAAAAACCCAUGAAUUUAUUGGUAUACCAAGAUGGGUUCAGAUCAAUUGACAUCUUUUCUUGAUUUAUAAAUGGACAAUCAUAAUCGAACAACUCUGAAAUUCUGACUCUGGGAAAAGUAAUGAGAAAAUAAUCCCUUUGAUGGAAGUCACACUGCAUGCAAUAGAAUAGAGAUUAUUAUUACUACUACUAGAAAUCAAUUUGACGAGAAUAAUAUUCAACAUUCAUAUAUGAGAUAAAAACCUGGAUGCAUGUCCUGAGAAAAUGAUGUAGGAACACAUUAACUUGUUCACUUGAGACGGCUCCACAGUUGGAUAUUACGAGCCUACACAGCCUAAGACAAUUAAUUACGAGAUCUCUGAUGCUCUUCAAGGCUAAAUGAUAAUCUGCUAAUAGCUCCCUUAAAUUUGGGGGUAGCUCUCCUGGCAGUUCAUUAAGAUUCUGACAGAAGUGUAUGUUCAGACUCCGAAGGUGUAAGAGUCCUUUAAGGCUUUUUGGUAAACAAGAAAUAUUGCUUCCACUUAAACUCAAAUAUUUCAAAGUGUGCAAAGAUCCUAAAUCCUCAAAAAGUCCACUCAAGCCUAAAAUUAUCAGUUUCCCAAGCUUGGUGAUGGAGGGAGGUGGUUGGUAUAUUGCAGUUUCGCUCACAUCAAGCUUACAUAACUCUUGCAAAUCACCCAUGUUUUCUGGAAGCUUUUCUAGCUUUUUGCACCCGUUGAGUAAAAGAUAUUGAAGAUUCAUCAAAUUACAGAGGCUGUCUGGUAGACUUACAAGAUCUUCACAACGUUUCAGACAUAGCUCAGUGAGGCCGCUCAGAUUCCCAAUGGAUGAAGGCACUUCUCUUAUCCCAGUAGACUUCAGACUCAGUCGUGUCAAGCAAUGCAUAUCUCCGUUGAUUUCUGGAAAUGUAUCUAAUUUUGGGUAUUUAGAUAUCGAGAGAUCUAGAAGGGAUUCCAUCUGAAUAGAGCUUGGAAGCUUCUUUAAGUUCUCACAUCUCUCUAUUAUUAACAAACGGAGAUUCUUUUGAACUUCAAGAGAUAUGGGGAGCUUUACCAAUCCAGAACAUCCGUAUAUACAAAGAACUUUCAAUAGCUGUGAUUCGAAGAGGCUGUUUGGCAGUGUUGCAAGUUUAUUGCAACCUGAAAUUCUGAGAUCACUAAGAUUUCGAAUAGUGUCUGGAAUACAUUCAAGAAUUUCA